rnacentral:sRNA from 1 species
UGCCUGUGAAUAUGUGAAUUGGAAUAGGU